ACGACGCUGGCGGCGUGCCUAAUACAUGCAAGUCGAACGGUCUUUUCUAUGGAAGCUUGCUUCCACUGAGAAGAUAGUGGCGAACGGGUGAGUAACACGUGGGUAACCUGCCCAUAAGAGGGGGAUAACAUCCGGAAACGGGUGCUAAUACCGCAUAGUUUUCUUGAUCGCAUGAUCGGGAAAGGAAAGACGGCCUUUGUGCUGUCGCUUAUGGAUGGACCCGCGGCGUAUUAGUUAGUUGGUGAGGUAACGGCUCACCAAGACGAUGAUACGUAGCCGACCUGAGAGGGUGAUCGGCCACAUUGGGACUGAGACACGGCCCAAACUCCUACGGGAGGCAGCAGUAGGGAAUCUUCCGCAAUGGACGAAAGUCUGACGGAGCAACGCCGCGUGAGUGAAGAAGGUUUUUCCGGAUCGUAAAACUCUGUUGUCAGAGAAGAACAAGUUGGAGAGUAACUGCUCCAGCCUUGACGGUAUCUGACCAGAAAGCCACGGCUAACUACGUGCCAGCAGCAGC
rnacentral:rRNA from 1 species